GUAAGAAAAGAUAAAUUUCUGAAAACCAAAAUGUCCUACCAGGUCUAUCCAUAUUUGUUUUAUUAAUGGGUAAUGCUUUCUAUUAGCUAAUGAAAAGAUGAUGGUAGUUUAACAGUGGAAUAACUUUUAAUAUAUCAUAAUCAGAGAAUACAAGGUAAGCAAAAUUACAAUCCAAUGUCUGAUUAGAAAAAAAAAUUAUUUUAUGGAAUUAAAAAAUAUUAUUUUAUUAAAUAAAAUAUGGUUUUCUUUUGAAAGUAUGUGGAAAUCAAAUUGCUAAGAUCAAUGCAACCAUUUAACUGAGUUUCAUUUUGACAAAAGGCAAUCUGUGGCGAUAUUGCUUUAGAAGUAAGAUGAAAUGCAUAAAUUCAGAUAAAACAUUUUGCCGAUUGCCUGGCUGAAAUAACUGGUUAUUAUUAUUGUUAUUACCAUUAGAAGACAAAAAAAUGGUCUCCCAGUUUUCAGCAUAUGCUACUCUUAAGUAGAAGGACCUUUAACAAAAGCUAAGUGUCCAGGCCUUGGUUUACUCAUCAAAGCAAAUGACCACAUCAGAUGUUCCCUGGGAGCCUUCUGACAUUUAGCAUUUGGUGAUUUUAUCAUCUCACUCCAAGUAAAGGAAGCAGCAAAACCUCUCUGAUUGUAUUUUGAGGUCUCUGCAUAAAUAACUGUAAAGCAUAUUUGACCACAUUAUGAGAAAAUUUGUAAAAUAAAUUUUAUUUGGAAUGCCUACUUGAACUGGAAAUUAACAAUUAGAGGACAUGACUUCCCUGAUGUUUACCUCAUUAGAAAAUGUCUUGGACAAAACGCUGGCAAAAAUCUUCUCUUGAAAACAAUCCUUUAUUAUUUAAAAGGUGGAAUUUAUGCCCCCCAAAUUUAUCUUUCUAAUGAUAUUUAACCCAUUUUGCAUAGCUCGUGUUUUCUUUUGUCCAAUGUUUAAACUAGCUUUUAUUUUUUUAAUGAUUAGAAGCUUGAACAUGUAAAAAAAAAAACAUUAAUGACUUUCAUAGCAUGAACCAGGAAAACAUUUAAAAUCUGUUAAACCUAGUAAUAAUUAUUUCAAAAUGUUGCCUACUAAUGAUGACUUACUAAUUAUCACUUUGUUGUCUUAGUAACUACCUACCCUUGCUGAAGAGUUGACAGAUUUUCAAAUCUACAGAUUGUGACAUAUAAGAAUGUGUGAAACCUGGUGGGUGAGCCAUCUUAGGCCUCAGUUUCUCCAUGUGAAAUGGGAGGAACUGGGCUGAACGAGAUCUAGGUUGUCCUUCCAUUCUGAGUGUGUUCUCUCAAGAUAAUGCUUGUGUUAAUAAGGACUGCAGGGCUCAGUCAGUCAAUGGGUUAUGUUCCUUAAACCUUAUCCAAAACAUCCCGGGUGUUAUGUGUUUCAAAAUUCAGAUUUUUUACAUUUCUUUUGGAUUUUAUAAUGGUAAUACAUUACAAAACAGUAUAUUAUAUAAUCCCCCCAGCAAGGUAUGGGGCAGCUCCAUGUAAUUAAGCUCAUUAUGGAUUCUGUGGCCACUGGUAUGAAAUUGAGGGCGGUGACAAUCAGGGACUCUAAAUAGGUUGUCAUUAGCUCAGGUCAGUUACUGUGGCUAAACACAUUACGGACAAUCUUUUUUUCUUUUUUUUCCUAUUUGUUUUUACUGCAUUUUGGAUUUCAGAAUGGUGGAUAAAGAUUGCGAAUUUGCACAGCUAUAAAGCUUACUAAUUAAAGACUACAAACACAAAGAGAGCAAGCCUUGUGAUGACUGCACAAUAACGAGGAUUCAGAUACAACGUGGUCGCCACCUGACGCCCACCUCCACAAAAAGCCAUUCUCAAAAGGAGAGAGACAUUCAUAUCCAGAAGAGGGAGUCGGCUGUAGGGUAGAGCACUUCAAAUGCAUCAAAGGUCCAGAGAGAAGCUUCUUCUGGUCACCUUGAUCUUGUGAUGCAAGGCAGGUGGGAGCAAGGGCUCCACCUCUGCAGACACAGAGAUGACGGGGUCGCCAUGCCGGCGUUUUAGUCCCGGUUUCCUCUGCUCGAGUAGUUGGUGGCCUCCUGCCUGUUCCCUAACAUAACUUCACUUUCCUUACCUGCAAAACGAAAUUAGUAUUUCCUCCCUCACAAGGUGCUUGAUGCCCUUCCCCUUGCGUUUACUUUGCCUGAGAGACUAUAUCAUAUCUAUGAUUUUGUGAAUGGGGCAAAAGGAAUUGAGAGUGUCAGGGUAUACCUUAUAAAUAAGCCACUAAAGGUUACAUCCUCAUUCCACAAACUGACCUAAACAAUUUGGCUGUCACUAAUAGAUUAUUUUGGUCAGUUAUGGCAUUUAGAGGGAGAAGAGAGAGUAUAUAUAUAUGGGUGGGGUGUGUGUGUAUGCGUGUGUAUGUGUGUGUUUACAGUCAAAAUACCAAAAUAUAUCUAUGUAUAUAAAUAUAUUUGCUUUCUUUGUUUUUGUUACAAUAAACUUGUACAUACAAUUCUGACACACAUAUUUUCAUAUGUAGGCACAAAAAUAGUCAUACAAAAAAUACCACAAAAGGUAAUAACAAAGUGGAAGAAGACAUAGGAACAGAGAACAAACCAACACAUAGAAAAAGUAACAAACAUGGUAGAUACGAAUCCAGCUAUAUCAAUAAUCGCGUUAAACAUCAAUGGUCUUAAAUAUACUAGACAGUGGAAUAUUAUUCAGCAUUGAAAAGAAAUGACCUAUCAAGCCAUGAAAGACAAGGAGGAACCUUAAAUGCAUGUUACUGAGUGAAAGAAGCCAAUCUGAAAAGGCUGCAUCCUGCAGGAUUCUGACUCUAUGACAUUCUGGAAAAGGUAAAACUACUAAGACAGUGAAAAGAUCAGUAGCUGCCAGGGGUUACGGGAAGGGGAUGAUGAAUAAGUGGGGCACAGCAUUUUGAGGAGGUGAAACUACUCUGUAGGAUACUGUAACAGUAAAUCCAUGUCAUUAUAUGUUUGUACACACCCAUAGAACACCAGGAGGACAGCACCAAGAGGGAGCCCUAGUGUGAACUGUGGACUCUGGUUGGUAAUGAUGUGCCUGUGAAGCUUCAUUGUUUGCAGCAAAUGCAUCAGUGUGGUGGGGGAUGUUUCUAAAUUGAUAAUGAAGGACGCCAUAGGUGUAUGGGGGCAGAGAGUUUAUGAGAAAUCUGUACCUUUUGCUCAAUUUUACUGAACAUAAAACUGCUGAAGCCAUCAUUCUCAGCAAACUAACCCAGGAGCAGAAAACCAAACGCCGCAUGUUCUCACUCAUAAGUGGGAGUUGAACAAUGAGAACACAUGGACACAGGGAGGGGAACAUCGUCACACACCGGAGCCUGUCGCAGGGUGGGGAGCUGGGGGAGGGAGAGCAUUAAGACAAAUACCUAAUGCAUGUGGGGCUUAAAACCUAGAUGAUAGGUUGAUAGGUGCAGCAAACCACCAUGGCACAUGUAUACCUAUGUAACAAACCUGCACAUUCUGCACAUGUAUCCCAGAACUUAAAGUAAAAUAUAUUAAAAAAAUUAAAGUCUAUUUUAAAAAAAGAAAAACAAUCAGCUAACCUACUUUGGUAGCUCUGUUCUGCGCUGUCGGGUCUUCCAUCCUAGCGUGUGACACAGGAGGGUUUCGCUGGCAGGACCCGCCCACUGCACAUGCAGGUUCAGGUGACAGAGACCUCUGGAAAGAUGAGGCCCGUGGGAGCAGGGGGCUUCUUGUUGACACUGAAGGUCAGGCUUCAGGAAUGCCAGGGGCUCAUAAAAUCUUUUUCACUGAACAUUAUGCUGAGCAGGAUUCAUUUUACCAGUGAAAAAAUAUUUCUGACAUCCUUUGUGCUUUUUAACAAAGCCUGUGGUGUGGAUUUGCAUGAUUCUUAGAUUGCUGAGUAACCACUUCGGGAGGGUUCUUGAUUAGGGCACUAAAAAUGUUAACACAACACCCGUGGGAUGUAGAUUAAGGUCAACUUGUCCUUGUGCGUCUCUCCUAGUGUUGAUGGCAGAGUCUUAGUAUUUCAGCUGACGAAAUCUCUGCCCAUUCUCUUCCAAUGUUCCCUAAUAAGCUACAGGAGGACAGAGACAAAAGUUUGACUUCAUUAGUAACUUUUGGAAGUUGCCCAAUUUAGGAAAAAGAGUUAAUAAAUCAGGAAUUUUAUAAGAACUUUUUGUUAAAUCUGUAGUUAUUCAAAUCAGCCUCAGCAUGAUAAGACAACACUACAGGUUAUUAUAAAUAGUUGAAAAAGAAAAAUUAAAUUCCAACCAAACAAUUGAUCCUUAACUUUUUUUUUUUUUGAGA
rnacentral:lncRNA from 10 species